rnacentral:lncRNA from 1 species
AUUGCCUCAAUCCAUAGCUGUUUCAUCCCAUCCCCUUCUCUUUGUCCGCGCAUCUGGAUUUUUGUUGGGUCUAUACGGCGAAUCUAUAAAAAAACCAUGGCGAGGUCAGCUUGGUCUAAGAGUACGUCGGUGAGGUGUUGCGUUACUGCCUCCGAUUAUUCGGUAUGUAUCUCACUAUAUGAUCCAUUAAAAUAUCAUUAUAUAUAUGCGUGUUUUUUUCUAACAAUUCUAAUCUACAACGAAACAUUUUAUGUGCAAUCAAUAAAUAGUGAUAAGCAAAAGGAGCGUGGAAGACAAUGUAAAUCUCAAAGCAUUGGUGAAAAUGUUACUUUUACAAUUGCAUUUAGCUGCUCAUUUCAUUAUUUAGCGCCAUCAUAAUUUAGUUACUUGUUAAAUAUCGUGUUAUCAGAUAAUAAUGGUAGUAACAGUGUAGCUAGUAUAUUAACCAAUAAUAUUAAUAUUAUUUGUUAAAUUAUUAUUAAAAUUAAUCCUACCAAGUAUAUUUUGGAUGCUCUCAUAG